rnacentral:misc_RNA from 1 species
UCGGAAGGAUCAUUAUUGUAUAAUGUUCAUUUCCGUUAAUAAAAACAAUUUUAUAUAUAGAAAUAUAUAAAAUUUUUCUGAAUAUAAAUGAAUAAUCAUUUAAAAACAUAUACACAUACUUAUUCCCAAUUAAUAUAUAUUUAUAUAAUAUCUGUCAUUUUCAAUUUGGGAUUUGUCUGUGUUUAUGCGUUUUAAUGAUGAAAAACUUGCGUGUAUAUGUACCAUAAUAUACAUGCGUUGCACAGAUGUAUUGUUCAUUAUUAUAUGCGCAUACAUUAUAUAAACGCAACAACCUAAAUUUUAUGUGUUGUACCUGUUUUCAGGUUAAUGCUUUGCAUAUUUCUAUAAAAAUAUUUWAUUCUUCUAUCUAUAUAAAAAUUUUAUUCAUACCAUAUUUUUAAAGUAUAUGUAAAACUAAGACAUUUCGCAACACAAUUUAGGUAUAAACAAUUUUAUUGAAGGAAUUGAUAUAUGCCAGUAAAAUGGUGUAUUUUUAAUUUCUUUCAAUAAAAACAUUUGUGACGUAAUGAAAUAAACCAAUAUAAAUUAUCACUCUAAGCGGUGGAUCACUCGGCUCAUGGGUCGAUGAAGAACGCAGCAAACUGUGCGUCAUCGUGUGAACUGCAGGACACAUGAACAUCGACAUUUUGAACGCAUAUCGCAGUCCAUGCUGUUUUGUACUUUAAUUAAUUUUAUAGUGCUGCUUGGACUACAUAUGGUUGAGGGUUGUAAGACUUUGCUAAYUAAGUUGUUUAAAAUUUUUCGAAGUUUUAAGCAUAUGGUAUAUUAUUGGAU